rnacentral:tRNA from 1 species
GGUGGUGUAGCUCAGUAGUAGAGUGCUUGCCUAGCAUGUACAAAGCCCUGGGUUUGACCCAGCACUCCUC